rnacentral:rRNA from 1 species
CACGGGGGGAGCAAGCGUUGUUCGGAAUCACUGGGCGUAAAGGGCGUCUAGGCGGUUGGAUAAGUGGGAUGUGAAAUGCCCCGGCUCACCCGGGGACCGGCAUCCCAAACUAUUCGACUUGAGUAUGGGAGAGGAUGUGGGAAUUCCUGGUGUAGCGGUGAAAUGCGUAGAUAUCAGGAGGAACACCGGUGGCGAAGGCGCACAUCUGGCCCAAUACUGACGCUAAAGCGCGAAAGCUAGGGGAGCAAACGGG